CCCUUAGAUGUCCUGGGCCGCACGCGCGCUACACUGAUGCAUGCAACGAGUUUAUAACCUUGGCCUGAAAGGUCUGGGUAAUCUUUUGAACGUGCAUCGUGAUAGGGAUAGAUUAUUGCAAUUGUUAAUCUUGAACGAGGAAUUCCUAGUAAACGCGAGACAUCAGCUCGCAUUGAUUACGUCCCUGCCCUUUGUACACACCGCCCGUCGCACCUACCGAUUGAAUGGUUCGGUGAAGAUCUCGGACUUCGAUAUUUAUUCUUUAUUGAGUUUAUAUUGUGGGAAGUUAUCUAAACCUCAUCAUUUAGAGGAAGGUGAAGUCGUAACA
rnacentral:rRNA from 1 species